rnacentral:rRNA from 1 species
AGAACUUUAGCAGAGAUGCUUUUGGUGCCCUUUCGGGAACUCUGAGACAGGUGCUGCAUGGCUGUCGUCAGCUCGUGUUGUGAAAUGUUGGGUUAAGUCCCGCAACGAGCGCAACCCUUUAUCCUUUUGUUGCCAGCGGUCCGGCCGGGAACUCAAAGGAGACUGCCAGUGAUAAACUGGAGGAAGGUGGGGAUGACGUCAAGUCAUCAUGGCCCUUACGAGUAGGGCUACACACGUGCUACAAUGGCGCAUACAAAGAGAAGCGACCUCGCGAGAGCAAGCGGACCUCAUAAAGUGCGUCGUAGUCCGGAUUGGAGUCUGCAACUCGACUCCAUGAAGUCGGAAUCGCUAGUAAUCGUAGAUCAGAAUGCUACGGUGAAUACGUUCCCGGGCCUUGUACACACCGCCCGUCACACCAUGGGAGUGGGUUGCAAAAGAAGUAGGUAGCUUAACCUUCGGGAGGGCGCUUACCACUUUGUGAUUCAUGACUGGGGUGAAGUCGUAACAAGGUAAGCGUAGCGAG